rnacentral:lncRNA from 1 species
UUUUUUUUUUUUUUUUUAAAAAGAUCUGAAACAGAAUAUCAUCUUUGAUUUUUGGUCUUUAUCUCAAAAUGUCUAAUGUUCUGGAAGGGAUAACAUUAAAAAGGCCAGAAAGAGAAUUUCCUCUUAACCCAGCAGCUGUGCCAUAGGGACAUAGCCACGGAGAAGCACUGUUUAAUUACGGAGGGCAGAGCAGUUUUAGGUGAGAGUGGGUUGAGAUUAGAACCACAGCUGCCACCAGGAAGGCACCACAGAGCCCCCAAGCCCCCUAGGCCUGGGGGACAAGGCUUACCCGCAGCCUGCAGCUGCCCAGUGUCCACCAGCUCUCUUCAGAGGGCACCGCCAAGGCCAUGCUGGCCCUGCCUGCACUCAGGCACCAGAUCAGCCCGCAGCAGACUCCAUACCUGCCCAAGAACAAGGGCAGGGAUCUCAAGAUAAGGGUGGGAAAGUGAGAACAAUUUGGCAAAAGAUAAGAGGGGCACCAUGAAAGUCCAUGGAUGGGGUGACAAAGGGGCACCAGGUAGAAAGGGCCAGCUGUGUGAGAUUUCCCAGGAAGCAGCUGCACAGAUAACAGAAUAUGAGUUUCAGCCAAAGGCUUUUGAUCUUCCCAUAACUAACAAUCUGGACUGUGGUAGUUAAGUUUAUAUUCAUGAGGAGUUCUUCAGGAUGGGACUAUACUGGGCCCCUGUCUUUCAAAAAACUACAAAUGUUUUCAUUUGUUCAUCUUAUGAAAUCCAGGCACACUUCCAUCUAUCCACCAUCCUUCUGUUCAUCUGUCUAUCCAUCCAUCCACCCAUCUAGCCAUCAUCCAUCCAUUCGCCAUCUAUCCAUCUGUCCGUUUGUCUACCCACCUGGUCGUUACUUAGUGUACCACUCAUUGUGCUGGGUGCUAAGGACACAAAGAAAGUUGGAUCUGCCAGGAUUCCUGUCUAUAAGGACAUGAGAUUUGAGGUGGGGAAGACAGGGAUGUGGAACAGAAGUGACCCACGACACUAGACACCCCAUGAUGAAGAGCUGCAAGGCUUGGUGACACCCAGGGAAAGAAGUUACGGAUAAUGAAGAGGAUCUUGGUCCAAAGGUUAGAGAUGGGAAGGCCAGCAGAUUUAUCUCAGCAAAAUCCUUCCCACCCCUGACAAACCCCAUCUUCAAUGAAAUCCUCUUUAAGAGGGGUAAGCAUUCUGGAGAGGCUGAAGGUCUUCGAGUGGAGGGAAAUUUGACAACAAAGACAGAGUAGGGGCCCACUGACUUCAGCUAGGAGCACCAUGCUGCAGAGCUAGGCUGCCAUGCCCUGGAACACUGGAGGGCAGUAUUUUGGCUUUGCUGACAACUGGAGAAUGGGCCUCCAAGGUGCAUGCCCAAUGGUACUAGCUGGCUCCUGGGGUGCCACCAAAGUACGCUGGUCUAGAGGUAUGAGGGCUGUGCCACACAGAUUUUCCUUCUCCUGGGAGUGACAAACCCUUGCAGGGGCAACAGAGAAUCAUUAAUGUGGCAUUGUUCAGCCAUUUUUCAUUCAUACCCCUUUGAGUAACAAAAAAUAAAUUCACACUCCACCCCCCUGAAAGAUUCUGAAAUGUCCCUUCUACCCCCAUACACCCCAGUGGAGUUGGGGAGGUGUCCUUGGGCAUAUGUUGCACAAGCCCAUAAGCCAAAAUUUGUCUUGCCACCUCCUCUAUGUUCUUCUCCCAUUUCCACAUAUAAAAAGGCAAUAUUAAAAAUUCUACUUCAAACUAAACCCCCCUGGGUCAUUUAUAAUUUUCAAAAACCAGGUUUCCCCCUCCCCCACCUCUGAGAAUUACAUUGGAAGGACACAACGUAGGGUGAAGAUCAUCAGAUCUGAGGCUGCAGGUAAGACCAGGCAAGAGAUGAGGGAUGAGAUGACAGGCUGACCCCGGGCAGGGCUGGGCAUGGCUUGAGUGGGAGAUGCUAGAGAAGGGAAACAGAAUGGAUGGGCCUUGGGCAAAAAUGCCAAGAGUUAUGACUUGGAUAGCCUGAUGACUAGUUGUACCAUUAACAGAGAUAGAGAAGCCAGGAGGACUGGACCUGGCAAGAAAGUUAACGAGUUCAGUGCCAGAAUGGCAAAAGCUUUGAUGGGAAACACAAAAUGAAAUACACGGUCCAGCCUCCCUGGUCCCUUAUUUGGGGAUUAUUGAUAAAUCACAUAAGAGACAUUUGAAUCUUGUUAGGGCUCCUAACUGUGUUUACUCUUCCUUCCACACUUUUACCCAUCUUUCUUCUCCUUCCUUCUAUCUGUCCAUCCAUCUACCUACCCAUGCAUGCAUGCAUCCAUGCAUCCAUCCAUUCUAUAUUGUGCAUGUGGUGCACAUUCAUGUGUGCCAAGCAUGGUCAGGGUGAUGGGGAUCCAAGAGUGAAGAGACAACAUCUUGACCUUCAUGGAACUUUUACUCUCUCACUGGACUUUUUAAAAUAAUCAUACAAAGAAGGCUCCCUUGAGGAAGUGCCUUUCUUUUUUUAACUACCAAAAAGAUAAGAGCAAGUAUUCAUAAGGAUGUAAAGAAAAGGGAACACCUGUAUACCGUUGGUGGGAAUAUAAACUGGUAUAACCAGUAUGGAAAACAGUAUGGAAGUUCCUCAAAAAAUAAAAAACAGAGCUACCAUAAGAUCCAGCAAUCCCACCGGUAAUGAAAUCACCAACUCAAAGAGAUAUCUGUACCUCCAUUUCAUUGUGGUACUAUGCACAAUUGCCAAGAUAUGGAAACAAUCUACAUGUCCACUGAUGGAUGAAUGGAUAGAGAAGAUGUGGUAUAUAUACAUAGUGGAAUAUUAUCCAGCCAUAAAAAGGAAGGAAAUCUUGGCAUUUGUGACAACACGGAGAGACUUGAGGGGACGAUGGUAAGCAAAAUAUGUCAGACAAAAAAAAAGACAAACAGUUUAUGUUCUCACUUACACGUGGAAUAUAAAAAAGCUGAACUCAUAGAAACAGAGAAUAGGAUGCUGGUUGCCAGGGAUGGGGGUGACGGGGAAAAGGGGAAAUGUUGGUCAAGGGUACAAACUUCCAGUUAGAUGCUGGAUAAGUUCUGGGGAAUCUAAUGUACAGUGUGGUGACUAUAAUUAAAAAUACUGUAUUAUGUACUUGAAAGUUGUUAAGACAGUAGAUCUUAAAUAUUAUCACCACAUCGAUUUUGUGAAGGAAUGGAGGUGUUAACUUAAAACACUGAUAAUUUUUUUCACAAUAUAUAUGUGUAUGGGGAUCCCUGGGUGGCGCAGUGGUUUGGCGCCUGCCUUUGGCCCAGGGCUCGAUCCUGGAGACCCGGGAUCGAAUCCCACAUCGGGCUCCCAGUGCAUGGAGCCUGCUUCUCCCUCUCCCUCUGCCUGUGUCUCUGCCUCUCUCUCUCUCUCUCUCUCUCUCUCUCUCUCUCUCUGUGACUAUCAUAAAUAAAUUAAAAAAAUUAUAUAUGUGUAUGGAAUCAUCACAUUGUACAUCAUAAACUUACAUAUGUCAUAUGUCAAUAAUAUAUCUUAAUGAAGUUGGAAGAACAAAAGAAGAAAAGUGUCUUUUAAGUUGUGAUCUGAUGAAUGAAAACAGAGAAAGGAAGAUUUCAGCUCCAAGCUGGGAGAAAGCAUGGUGCAUUUAAAGGAAAUGAAAUAAAGUGGGCAGGGGCCCAAUGGUGCAAGGCCCUAAGAGCAGCGUAAGGGACUCUGGUCUUCCUUUUAAAGGUAAUGGAGAGCUUUGAAGAGACUGUUUUCCCAAGUCUCCCAAAGAUAGUUCAUAACUGGUAUCCUCCUAGAUAUGCCACAGAAUAGUUAAUUCUUUACAUGAUAGAUGCCUUAGGGCUUAAUACUUUCAAGAAACUAAGAACUACUGACUGUAUUUCAACAAACUCUUUUUGUUAUUUCAGUAAUUAUAUUCCUCAUUCAAGGGAUCUCAGGGUGAAUCUGCUUUAUACAAAGCUCGACCAUCAAUCUUGGGGGAGGUAGAACAGCCUAGUGGUCAUAUACACUCAGGUUAAAAUCCCAAAUCUAUCAUCCACAAGCUGUACUACCUCAGGCAAGCUACUUAGCCUCUAUGUUUCAGCUCCUUCAACACUUAUUUCCAUAACUUCUUCCAACAAACUAAAUGAGAUAACUCCUAAAAGGAGUCUGGCAUACAUUUUUUUCCAUUGACUACUAUAUUGACUACUACUAUAUAUCAGUGUAUUUAAUAAUAAUGGCAUGUGAGAGCUGGAACCAGAUUAUCUUCCACAAUGGCUGACAAGUGACUUCAUUAAAACAUAUCUUUAAGGGGCACCUGGGUGGCUCAGUCUAUUAAGUUUCUGCCUUCAGCUCAGGUCAUGAUCCCAGAAUCCUGGGAUCAGGUCCCACGUUGGGCUCCCUGCUCUGAGGGAAGUCGGCUUCUCCUUCCAUCCCUCCUUCGCUCAUGCUUUCUCAAUCUCUCUCUCUCUCUCUCUCUCUCAAUCUCUCUCCCCCCCUCACUCUCUCUCCAAUAAAAAAAUCUUUAAAAAUUUUUUUUAAAAAACCUUAUCUUUAGUUCAAAGUCCUUGUUCUCCUAUUCUAGCUAACAAACAAAACAGAAUUGUUACCUUAUCCUAAUUAACUCUAGGAAGUGAAGAUAAUUUGGGAUUUUUUUCUAGGGACUGCUGUUGGUCUUGAAGUUUUCUGGGCACUCUGGACAAGGAAGGUAUGGGGAAAUCUCCACCUCUGGGCUCAGUUAUGGGCAGCACAGGACAGGAGCAUCUCUUGCAGCUGUAUGAAAGCCAGCAGAGGCCAGUGCUACAUGACAUGACCACGAAAGACCCAUCCUUGCUACUGGCUGGAAUAGAUGGGCUCAGAGCUACCAGUUAUCUCUUAGGAAGUGUUUACAGGAGUAACUGUAGACAUUUCUGACCAAUACCAUCUUGAGGGUUAUCUGAAAAGUGGGAGAACUCACAUAGACACUACUUUCUCAGUGGAGCAAACCACAGUGUGUUCCUACACGUCCAGAUGAAGAAAGAUGGGAAACCCGGUCUCAGGUGUAUUCCAAGCACCUAGAACAAUGGGUGCUCAGUAUAGGGAAGAAAGAGUUAAGGUACUAGACAGCUUUUCUCGGCAUCUGGAUGUGGGAAGAUGAAGACUGAAGAUAGGCUCCUACCUGGAACACAGUACUUUUCUGAAUCCCGAGACCUGCGGGCAGGGCCAACCUCAAUCUGGAGCAGAGAGCAGAAACUCCUUUAGGAGGAGGCUGGGAGAUAAACCCACUAACUCAGUAGGUCCUCGUCUGUCUCAUUUCACAGUUCCCAGGGCCCUUUCCACACAUUCUUUCAGUUCCUGCCAACAACUCUGUGAAACAGAUAUUAUCCUCUUUUAGGGAUAUAGAAACCAAAGCUAAGAGAAGUGCCCAAGCUAAGCUGCUCAUCACAGAUACCAGAGUGGUUGUUCAAACGACAGCAUCCCAAGCCUCAGCUUCAGACCUACUGGAUCAGAACUCAGGUUUGGGGAGGGGGUUUCCUGGGAAUUAUUUUUUUAAUCAUCCCCAAGUGAUUGUUUUCAAUAAUCACCUUCACUUAGGAGCCACUAGAUCCCUGGGUGAUCACAAUGCUGGCAGCCCCACCUGAUUACCUCCCCUUGUGUCCCUCCCCCUGCCUCGCAGUGCUCUGUCCCUUGAUUGGCCAUAAACUACUCUCAUCUGGUAACUUACUUGGGCAGGCUAGAUUUAAACCACCAUCCUGGGAACCAAGCCAGCAGGUAUAUUCAUGGAGUCUAUAAGAGGCAACCCAAGCCAGCCUACUUCAUAUCUUCCCAUUGUAAUGCAAAUGUGUAAGGUAUUCCAUUUGCAUUAAACUGAUAUCAGUAUGAAUUUUAAAAUCAUAACGAGAGCAAGUGAUGGAUUUUAGAACAGUACUAUGCAUGGAUAAAGAGUCAACCAAAAGAAGGGCAAGGAAAUCAGCCGUUUGACAUGCAAAGUGCCUCUCAACAGUUCACAGGGCCAAUCCACCUCCUUCUGUUGAAAGUGAACAGGAAACACUGAAGAAAGCAUCUGAAUAAAUUAUGUAUGGUGGUGACAGUUCCAUAUAUUUGCACUUAUGUGUUGUUAUUGUUGAUGACCAGGUAAUGGUUUCACCUCUCCACAUUCCUGUUCCUCCUCACACAUUUUUAGAAACAUGAAAAUAUGGUUCAAAAAGCAAAGCAAAAGAUUAAAACGUUUAACAGAAUUCUCUUGUGGGAUGUGAAAACAGAGGGACAUUUCCUCAAGUAAGAUGGAGGAUGGAAUCACAAACUGGAGGUACUAAGUCCAGAAAAGAUAAGGAGUUGGUCUGAUCUGCAAAGGCCUUUAGACUACGUGCAGACUUUUCCUUUGAUGAUGUUGAUCACCUUGCCCUGUGUUGUCGGCAGAAACACAGGACUGUAAAGGAUGUACACACUUGAGAAGAAAGAGGAAGAUGAAGACUUGCCUUUGACAUCAUGUGUCAACUAUACGUCAAUUAAAAGAAAGCUUGACUUUGAAAAACAUGACUGGAUGUGCCAAUAAGCGAGAGAAUAACAUACUCAUGAGCAAGAACUUAAAGAUGGUAUUGUGCAUUAAAAAAAAAAAA